rnacentral:rRNA from 1 species
UGAGGAAUACAUCUGAAUCUACUUUUUCGUGGGGGAUAACGUAUGGAAACUUACGCUCAUACCGCACACGACCUACAGGUGAAAGCACGGGAUCUUCUGACCUUGCGCGAUUGAAUGAGCCGAUAUCUGAUUAUCUAGUUGGCGGGGUAAAGGCCCACCAAGGCGACAAUCCGUAGCUGGUCUGAGAGGAUGAUCAGCCACACUGGAACUGAGACACGGUCCACACUCCUACGGGAGGCAGCAGUGGGGAAUAUUGGACAAUGGGCGCAAGCCUGAUCCAGCCAUACCGCGUGGGUGAAGAAAGCCUUCGGGUUGUAAAGCCCUUUUGUUGGGAAAAAAUCCAGCCGGCUAAUACCUGGUUGGGAUGACAGUACCCAAAGAAUAAGCACCGGCUAACUUCGUGCCAGCAGCCGC